UACGUAGGGCGCAAGCGUUGUCCGGAAUUAUUGGGCGUAAAGGGCGCGUAGGCGGCGCAACAAGUCACUUGUGAAAUCUCCGGGCUUAACCCGGAGCGGCCAAGUGAUACUGUCGUGCUAGAGUGCGGAAGGGGCUACUGGAAUUCUCGGUGUAGCGGUGAAAUGCGUAGAUAUCGAGAGGAACACCUGCGGCGAAGGCGGGUAGCUGGGCCGACACUGACGCUGAGGCGCGAAAGCCAGGGGAGCGAACGGG
rnacentral:rRNA from 1 species